rnacentral:ncRNA from 1 species
AUAACGACGAUGAAGAGGACAGUAACAAAGAACUUGGUUUAUAGAGACAUAAUCCUUGGGUGAAAGAUUAUGACGAAGGUUUUUUGUGAAGAUCACCUUGGAGUUGGGUGGCUGAAGUAAUCUAAGCUGCUCCGUAGGCAUACGUUACAUGUUUUAAGCGAUUAAUGGGUGUUUACUCGACUCUAUUAAUAAAAAGGGUGGUACCGCGGAUAAUCCGUCCCUAAG